AUUUGGACUUGGUGAAAUUUCGAGUUAUUAUUUCGUCUAUUCGAUGCAGUGACACAUGCAAAUGACCGUGCAUUGUGAUUAAUAGCUCGCUCGACACAUUUUUAUCAUUUCGAGUAAUUUCAUUGCAAAUCAGCCGUCAUUACCAAAAGAGACAAGGCGCCAAACAUUCUAGAAAACAUAAAAGAUAACAACAUUGGUUUUAUCAACUCGCGUUUAAAAUGCUAUCCCCUUUAGAUUGCUUGGCGCUCCUCCCAAAAAUAUAACUAAACACACGAUAAGUCGAUCGUUCGGUCUUGUUCAAAACAACGGAGCGAAAAGUUCAUGGCCAAUUUUUACACAAUUUGUUGGCCGAUGUACUUUCGGGAGCAAACACUUAACCUGAAGUGCUUUCUUUUUCUCAGUUGUCGCUCGAUAGCUGCUCAACAUCAGUUGCCAUCAAAAACGUGUCACUUCUUAGUUAAGGAAACAAUUGUUCGCUUCAUCUCUUCAGUACAAUUGACUAAACUCUUCAAUUAAUGGCAAUUUAAAGCAAGGGUAGCCUUAAUCCUGAAAACUUCGAGCGACCCAUUACAAGGUUCCAUGUCGCAAGAAAGCUGUCAGCUAUAUAUCAUUUAUUUUACAAUAAGCUAUCGCGAUACAUAAAUUUCAGUUGAGUCUAAGCCGUAGAAAAGUGACGACUUGCCUCGAGGGCUUGUUUUGACAAGCAUUGUUGAAAACCUUUCAAGAUAUUAAUAUUUUAAAAGAUGGUGAUUUGUAAAGUGGUGAAACUUGGUAGCCCGUUCAGCUGCUUUACUCACGCAAUCGGAGAAAGAAAGCGAGUCCAAGGGAGAAGAGAAUUUCGAGGCUGAAGAAAAGUUUUCCACAGUUUCAAGACUUAAGCAUGCUGACAGAUUGUGCACUGACGAAUCCCCAAGAAAACACAGCUUGAUGGGAGGCUUCAAAAUCGUCGGGUAUUGUUGCCUAUAAACUCCAAAAUCCUGGACAGGGGCCUUCUGGAUAAAAAAAAAAUGUCAUAAACCUGCCUGAUAAAAAGGCAUAUCUGGCACUCUCUCGAGACGUUUCCCGAGGUUGUUGUUGUAGUCAUGUUUCAUCCCAAGGCUAUCGCGGCCAGGUGUAAAGAGCUCUGGGUCGAGAAUGAAGUAUUUGUAAGCAGUGUUGUUUGCGUCAAUCUCUGUAAAAUGAUAAUGAUACUAACAACAAGGACAAUAAUAAAACCAGCAGCAACA